UGGGGAAUAUUGCACAAUGGGGGGAACCCUGAUGCAGCAACGCCGCGUGAGUGAAGAAGUAUUUCGGUAUGUAAAGCUCUAUCAGCAGGGAAGAAAAAAUGACGGUACCUGACUAAGAAGCACCGGCUAAAUACGUGCCAGCAGCCGCGGUAAUACGUAUGGUGCAAGCGUUAUCCGGAUUUACUGGGUGUAAAGGGAGCGCAGGCGGUCUGUCAAGUCAGAUGUGAAAACCCGGGGCUCAACCCCGGGACUGCAUUUGAAACUGUCAGACUAGAGUGUCGGAGAGGUAAGUGGAAUUCCUAGUGUAGCGGUGAAAUGCGUAGAUAUUAGGAGGAACACCAGUGGCGAAGGCGGCUUACUGGACGAUUACUGACGCUGAGGCUCGAAAGCGUGGGGAGCAAACAGG
rnacentral:rRNA from 1 species